rnacentral:rRNA from 1 species
UACGUAGGGGGCAAGCGUUGUCCGGAAUCAUUGGGCGUAAAGCGCGCGUAGGCGGCCCGGUAAGUCCGCUGUAAAAGUCAAAGGCUCAACCUUUGAAUGCCGGUGGAUACUGUCGGGCUAGAGUCCGGAAGAGGAGAGUGGAAUUCCUGGUGUAGCGGUGAAAUGCGCAGAUAUCAGGAAGAACACCAAUGGCGAAAGCAGCUCUCUGGGACGGUACUGACGCUGAGACGCGAAAGCGUGGGGAGCGAACAGG